UACGAAGGGGACUAGCGUUGUUCGGAAUCACUGGGCGUAAAGCGCACGUAGGCGGAUAUGUCAGUCAGGGGUGAAAUCCCGGGGCUCAACCUCGGAACUGCCUUUGAUACAGCAUGUCUUGAGUCCGAUAGAGGUGGGUGGAAUUCCUAGUGUAGAGGUGAAAUUCGUAGAUAUUAGGAAGAACACCAGUGGCGAAGGCGGCUCACUGGCCCGAUACUGACGCUGAGGCACGAAAGCGUGGGGAGCAAACAGG
rnacentral:rRNA from 1 species